rnacentral:misc_RNA from 1 species
GGCGCCAAGGGGAAGGGC